CGCUUAGCCCGGCUCUCCCUCAGGAAGGCACCAUUACAACAGUAACAGAGGAUUAAUUAGAGCUCGUCCCCGUAGAGGCGUACGAGGAGCUGCACCCCGGUCAAAGGGGGAAGCAUUAACAGCACCGAGCGCAGGUUAUCAUCCUGUGUUUCCAGGCCCGAGCCCUUCUCACCUCCGCCACCCCUGCAGUCACCUGGCGUUUAGAGGCGCGAGGAGACGUGCUCGCACCGCGGCUCACAUGCAAAGAGCCUGCUGGAAAUGUGAGAAAACUAUCGAGUCUGACUGGAGUCUCGCCGGACCUUUUCGGAAACACGUGAAAUGAAAUAUGCUAAUUGAAUAAAGGGUCAGAGGAAGUGGUGAAGAAGUCUGCUUAGCACGGAGUCUGGAGUAACUAAUGGAGCUAAUUAAAACCACAAGAAACCGAGGACCCUUUGUUACAGUUUAGAUGCACAAGUCUGGAGAAGCACAUAUAUUGUCACAGAGCAGCGUUUACACAAAUCCAGAUGUAGAUUCGAAUCCCAGUUGGACAAACCUCGAGAUCCUGGGAUAAGCACAAGACCGUCCUUAUGAUGGCAGCAGCAGUGCUUUGCUGCAAAUCUACAGUAUCUAUAAGUGACCUGCAAAACCAAGACCAUACACAGCUACUGAAGGGACGUGACCAGAGUCUUAACGCCGAGGCCGGGAGGAAGCAGGAAGAAGAUGUGGUGGAGUAGAGCGGGAGAAAAAAAAAAAACAAGAACACGGAGCCCCAGCAGACUGGAAUACCCCUGAUCUUUAGACGCUUGGCUACACCUGGACACGGACUACAGAAAUGCACUGAUUACGGCUUGGGACCAACACUAAGAGUGGCUAGGGUCGGUUCCCUGACCGGGAAUCGAACCUGGGCCGCAGCGGUGAGAGCGCUAGACCUUCAGGGGAUUUGCAGAUUUUACUUGGUUUCACCCUUAGUCUUGGAGUGACCAUUGCCCUUGACUCAAACCAGUCCAAAGUCAUGUCAGAUUUGGCUGAAAAAUCAAAAGUACACAGCUUCUGUCGGGGUGGGUUACAGUCGGACCUUCAGCUCGGGCUUAUUCAAAUGGCAGUCCCUGAGGGACAAAUCCAAACUUGGGACAGAGGUCUCCUGCCUUUAUACAUCAUUAGAAGGGUGCAGCGGUCACCAUCCCUCCUGGAACACCGGUUCUGUUUGGGUUCCCCGUGUCCUCCAGCCCACCCCAAAUAAAACCAUCAUGUCCCAUUCAGAAUCUCUACCCUUAGUCUGUUCCCACUACUCCUGAGAUAGAUGUUCUCCUGAUCCAUCACCAGACUUCCUGUUGCCUUCUGCCUGCUCAUUGUUAUCUUCAUAAACUACCCUUCAUCUGUGGUGCGUGAGAGACAGGAAAUGAUACACCAGUGGAUCGAAAAAGCAGCACAAUGACAGGAAACAGAGAAACCAGAGUGUGUAAACUCGUCUGAUCUGAAAACCUCUGCAUGGUUACAAAGCAGUGACACUGGAGACUCCUUACAUCAAUGUAAAUUAUUCUUCUGGCAGAUUAGUUUCCGUAUCAGCACCUUUAAAUCAAUGCUAUUUGUAAUGUAGCCUUUUUUCUGUAGAUGUUCCUACAGCUUUGCUUUGGAGAUUUUCUCAGAAUUGGGGUCUGAAGCUAAAAAAAAAACUGAUUGGUGAUCACACACAGAUUUUUUCUGAAAACUCAGGAAGAUAGAAUUUUAACUUCUAGAAGCUGUUCUGAAGCUGGGAAUGUGCUUAAGAAUGUGACGGAAAGUAUCACUGCCACACCCACAAUUGUAGAGAAAGUCUUUGUAACAUUACAAAAUCGAGCUCCAUGAGAACAAAGUGUGUAAAAUGUGGAGAAGAAGAACUCGAGAGCCCUGACCUCAUCACCUCUGUUAUGACCUGCAUCCAGAGCUUCAUCACUUCCUCCAAAAUCAAUGUGAUCCCACUAAUCCUCUGUUUGCUCAGAAGAUGAGGUCAACCAUGAUACAGCAGGAGCACAGAAGAUUAAGGGCCUUGCUCAAGGGCCCGAGUGGCAACUUGGCAACACCGAGCUUGGCUUGAACCCCCAACCUUCCGAUCACUAAUCCAGCACCUUCACCACUGAGCCACCACUCGCACGUGUUUACAUACAUCGUUCACGUUGUAGGAACGCAGUGCCAUGUUCAGGUCACAUUUAAAUCUUUAUGUUGACAGGAUUUUUUUUUUUUUCGCAGCUGCAUUACUCUCUACGUCUCUCUCUUGUUCUCCUUCUUUUUUUUUUUUUUCUUUACAAACAUAACAUUUUUAUGAUAUCAUGUCAAAACCGAGAAAUAAACAGCAGCUCUUUUUUCAAGCGCUGAGAAAAGAAGCUUCAAUUACUCAACGUAUCAUUUGUCCUCGCGUAAACCCAAAGUGAGACAGACACCACUGAAAAAGUCGUCUUCUUCUUCUUUUUUUUUUUUUUGAAUACCGUAUUUCUGUUUAUUAUUAGCUGAGUCUGUGCUUCAUCAUUCGAUAGGGGGGAAAAAAAAAUUCAUAUCUGCUGAACAUAAGGGGGAGAAACAGUGGGGAAUCAAUCAUUUGUGCUUGGGCAGAUAAACACAAGACACAAUCGGGGAAAAGAGAAGAGACAGGAAGGAGAAAGGCCUCGUCCUGCCGUGAUGGAUAGCUGGAGUAAAAGUGUCAGGAUGGUAUUAUGUAAAUUAAGGAGGCAUCCGAGCAUCGCCUUGAUGAUUAUGGGAGAUGUGAAUGAUGUUUGCCGUCCCCAGGCACUUCACCGCGCCUUGUUAUUUUUCUUCCCUCCAACCAGCCCUCGGGUGUGUUCCACCUGACCCGCCGGACCGACACGAGGAGAAUCCUAACCCCCCCUCAAGGGGGUAUGCACUCCAAAAAAAACUAUACAGAGGAAAAAUGACAUCUGUUUUAUUUACUAAACAAAUUAUCUGCCAGGAUUCCUCACCUAAUAGGAAUAGAGGGGAUGAAGUCGAGAAAUAGAACCUACACACAGAAUCUGGGAAAAUGAUGCCUGAGCUCGUGACCUUCUUAGUCCUCCUUUGUGUCCUCUCAACACUUCAUAUAAAAUGAACAGAAGCUGAGAAACAAACCUCUGAUAUCUCCGAAAGCGUGAGCACGAGGCCAUGCUGACUGUGUGCUGAGACAGUAUAAAAAAAUACAUAUGCACAAGCAUGAUAUGGUACGGCAUUAAAUAACUGUCAGGUUUUUCUGACUGUAAAAGAAAAUGUUUACGCUGAUUUAUUAAGACGCUCACAAUGGUUCGAGAGGUUUAUAGAGAUGGUGACUUUGCUCUUGUGUGAACGAUUUCACUUUUUAAAAUGUCAUCUAGUCAGUUGUGUUCAUUUAUUUGUUGGCUAAUUCAAUUUUGGGUGACGUUUCUUUUUACAUUCUGAUUAUCUAUCUUGAUUAUCUAUUAUCUAUUUCUUAGUCAAUCAAUCAAUCAAUCAAUCAAUUAACAAAUUAAUCAAACAAUUAAUUAAUUCAUUAAUCAACAAAUCAAUAAAUCAAUCAACCAAUCAACCAAUCAAUCAAUCAUUCAAUCAAUUAAUCCAUUUAACUCUCUUAACACAAACAGGUAGAUAGAUAGAUAGAUAGAUAGAUAGAUAGAUAGAUAGAUAGAUAGAUAGAUAGAUAGAUAGAUAGAUAGAUAGAUAGAUAGAUAGAUAGAUAGAUAGAUAGAUAGAUAACUUAAAAAAUCACGAGGUUUUGGUGAUUCUCUUUUCAAGGGGAAUUGUACAUCUACUGUAGUGUAAACUCAACACAAAUUGUGAAUUACUUGUUAUAAAUGUUUUAUUUACUACUGUUAAAAAAUAAUACAAUAAUAAAAGUUUUAAAUAUUUUUACGUAAUUUAUUAGUAAAAAUGUUUUGAAAUGUUACUCCGAACUUUCGAGCCACACGCAGCUUCUUGCAGAUCAGAUAUUUCCUGAGUUACUAUAAGUCCGCUUCCAAAUGAAAGGUCACGAACUAUCAGGGUCGUGAGUAUCGAGGUUCCACUGUUAAGCCUUAUACAUUUAUAUCUUCAUGUGUUGAUGCGAUUGGUUACCUAAUAAUUAUAAGCAACAUUCAAAAUGAUAGGAACAAUAAAAUACUGUUGAAUUUAUGAUAUUAGAAAUGAACUACGCAAUAAACAAACUAACAAAGGAAUAAUUUUUUUGCCAACUUUGAUUCUUUGUGCAAUCUACUGAUAUGCUGUUCGGGGUGGAAAAAAGAAGUAGAAAAAAAAUGCAAGCCCAAUUAAAAGCAGGAAAUGCGAGUCUCACUUUAGUUCGGGCCUCAUGGUGAGACUUCCACCAAACAGGUUUAAAAACGAAAGUGUGUUUCCUUGCUUGGACUCUCUCCCACCGCUAGUGUGAUAGCACAUGUGCACAUGAUCCUAUCAACAAUCGCAGGCCUAUCACACCUACCGCAAACACCCUGCACACUGACUGUAUGUGUUUAAUUGUUUCGAUCUCUUCUUUAUUUAUUUGACUCGUUUUGAGAGAUAGGGGUGAACGAUGAUCAGAUUCAUGUGCUUCCUAAUUUUUAUGUAAAGUUUUCAGAAUUAAUACACAGAGAUACUGUACUUUAGUCUGUUAAUUACUUUAGAUAAUGUAUCGAUUAUAAUCCAUAUCGAUCGCUAAUAUCAUGUCAGAUAUUUCAGAUAUCGGGUGACACAUGAGACA